rnacentral:rRNA from 1 species
AGCGUAGACGGAUGGACAAGUCUGAUGUGAAAGGCUGGGGCUCAACCCCGGGACUGCAUUGGAAACUGCCCGUCUUGAGUGCCGGAGAGGUAAGCGGAAUUCCUAGUGUAGCGGUGAAAUGCGUAGAUAUUAGGAGGAGCACCAGUGGCGAAGGCGGCUUACUGGACGGUAACUGACGUUGAGGCUCGAAAGCGUGGGGAGCAAACA